AAAAAUACAGUCUUCUUCAUCGUCGCUUUGUAUCAGCGGUUCAACGCUUGGGUUGUUCAAAUCCUAAAUGGGAAAAGAUACUUAAAGAUGUCGGUUAAGGGUAUUCUUCAGUAGUGUCUCGUGUGUAAACGGAUCCCACAAAAAAUUUCCACAUUAUAAAGUGUGUUGCUGCUUUACCUGUUGCAACAUCAACCAUUACACUGUUGUGACUGGCUGAGA